AACGAACGCUGGCGGCAUGCCUAACACAUGCAAGUCGAACGAGACCUUCGGGUCUAGUGGCGCACGGGUGCGUAACGCGUGGGAACCUGCCCUUAGGUUCGGAAUAACUCCCCGAAAGGGGUGCUAAUACCGGAUAAUGUCUUCGGACCAAAGAUUUAUCGCCUUUGGAUGGGCCCGCGGUGGAUUAGCUAGUUGGUAGGGUAAAAGCCUACCAAGGCGACGGUCCAUAGCUGGUCUGAGAGGAGGAUCAGCCACGCUGGGACUGAGACACGGCCCAGACUCCUACGGGAGGCAGCAGUGGGGAAUAUUGGACAAUGGGCGAAAGCCUGAUCCAGCAAUGCCGCGUGAGUGAUGAAGGCCUUAGGGUUGUAAAGCUCUUUUACCCGGGAUGAUAAUGACAGUACCGGGAGAAUAAGCGCCGGCUAACUCCGUG
rnacentral:rRNA from 1 species